CAAGGAACUAAGAGUUUAUGGGGGAUACCUUGGCAUUCAGAAGCGAUGAAGGACGUGGUUACCGACGAUAUGCUUCGGGGAGCUGGAAACAAGCUAUGAUCCGGAGGUUUCCGAAUGAGGCAACUUUUUAACUACUUAUUGAAUUCAUAGAUAAGAAAGAGCAAACCUAGAGAAUUGAAACAUCUUAGUACCUAGAGGAAAAGAAAGUAAAAACGAUUCCCUGAGUAGCGGCGAGCGAAACGGGAUUAGCCUAAACUUAAUUAUAAAUUAAGGGUAGUGGGACAAUAAUAAAGAAUUUAAUGGAACGAUUAGAGGAAUAAGUUUGGAAUACUUAACCAUAGAGAGUGAUAGUCUCGUACUCGAAAAUUGAACCAAUUCAAUUGUAUCCCAAGUAGCAUGGAGCACGUGAAAUUCCGUGUGAAUCUGCGAGGACCACCUCGUAAGGCUAAAUAUUCCUGAAUGACCGAUAGUGAAACAGUACCGUGAGGGAAAGGUGAAAAGAACCCCGGGAGGGGAGUGAAAAGAACAUGAAACCAUAAACUUACAAGCAGUAGGAGGACGACUUAACGUCUGACUGCGUGCCUGUUGAAGAAUGAGCCGGCGACUUAUAGUUAGUGGCAGGUUAAAGUAGUGAAUACUGAAGCCAUAGUGAAAGCGAGCCUGAAUAGGGCGUUUGUCACUAGUUAUAGACCCGAACCCGGAUGAUCUAACCAUGGUCAGGUUGAAGCUCAGGUAAUACUGAGUGGAGGACCGAACCGACUGAUGUUGAAAAAUCAGCGGAUGAAUUGUGGUUAGGGGUGAAAUGCCAAUCGAAUUCGGAGCUAGCUGGUUCUCCCCGAAAUGCGUUUUGGCGCAGCGGUAAAUGUUAUAAUCUAGGGGUAAAGCACUGUUACGUAUGCGGGCUGGUAAUUCGGUACCAAAUCGUUGCAAACUAAGAAUACUAGAUGUAUAGUUUACCAGUAAGACUGUGGGGGAUAAGCUCCAUUGUCAAGAGGGAAACAGCCCAGAGCACCAGUUAAGGCCCUUAAAUAAUUACUAAGUGGUAAAGGAGGUGGGAGUGCAUAGACAAUCAGGAGGUUUGCUUAGAAGCAGCAAUCCUUUAAAGAGUGCGUAAUAGCUCACUGAUCGAGUAAACCUGCGCCGAAAAUGUAUGGGACUAAGUAAUUUGCCGAAACUGUGCGAUAUAUAUUUAUAUAUCGGUAGGGGAGCGUUCUGUUGUAGGUCGAAGUAUUAGCGUAAGCGGAUAUGGACGAAGCAGAAGUGAGAAUGUCGGCUUGAGUAACGAAAAUAUAGGUGAGAAUCCUAUACCCCGAAAACCCAAGGUUUCCUCCGGAAGGCUCGUCCGCGGAGGGUAAGUCAGGACCUAAGGCGAGGCUGAAAAGCGUAGUCGAUGGACAACGGGUUAAUAUUCCCGUACCAUUUUUUAUUGAUAUCGAGGGACGGAGAAGGCUAAGCUAGCCGGAUAUUGGUUUUACCGGUUUAAACGUUCGAGAUGUUGAGAAGCGGUGAAAACGCUUUGAGUUGAGACGUGAAUACGAGACACUAAGGUGUUGAAGUAGUGUAUGUCAUACUUCCAAGAAAAGCUUGCACUGUCAUAAAUAAAGAAUGCCUGUACCAUAACCGACACAGGUGGGUAGGUAGAGUAUACUAAGGGGCGCGAGAUAACUCUCUCUAAGGAACUCGGCAAAAUAACUCCGUAACUUCGGGAGAAGGAGUGCCUUAUUUAUAAGGUUGCAAUAACAAGAUCCAAGCAACUGUUUAUCAAAAACACAGGUCUCCGCUAAGUCGUAAGACGAUGUAUGGGGGCUGACGCCUGCCCAGUGCCAGAAGGUUAAAGAAGUUGGUUAGCAAUUGCGAAGCUGGUAACUGAAGCCCUGGUGAACGGCGGCCGUAACAAUAACGG
rnacentral:rRNA from 1 species